CGAAGCAGGUCUUCUUUUGCUCUCUCCUUCUCCUUUAGCGGGGGUGGGCAAGAGGGAGCCGCGUACGAUCCCAACUACGGCGGUGACGGAGCGGGGUAGCCGGGUACCGGUCCAGGAGGCUGCAGCCGGUGGCCUCUUCCUUCGUUUGAGCUGUAGGUUAGCAGGUCUGGAAGAGAGCUAGGUCCGUUCAGCGGAGGAAGGAAGGGGAAGGGAGUGGGGGGCUGGGGAGAGACGGCGGAGCACAGGAUGGGGAAAGAGAAGAGUUAGACUUAGGUACCUCUAUCGGCCGUCCCUCCUGCUCAUACACAACCUCCCGCGACGGCCGCCGCGGUUUUCAUCGAGUUGUUCUUGGUAGCAGUGCGCCUCCGUUCUGUGAUAGCUGUGCCUAGGCGAAGCAGACGCGGCCGUUCCCGGUUGGCAAGGUCUAGGCUGGUCCCGGUCAACGACGAACAAUAUUUGGUCUCGUAACUACAGACGAAGGUCGACGACCCGGUACCCGAGGAGGUAGACGAGGCGUUCGAGUACUAGGCGCUCAAGGAAGACUUCGACGCACUCUCUUUGUCUUUACAUUGUAAGUGUUACGUCACUAACAAGGACCAAGAUCUUUUAUAACGUUCCUUAAAAACGAUGCAUACUUGGUUCUUUACGCCGUAAAUCUAUAUAAAACAUACGAGGGGUGGACCCAACUUGCCUACGUAGGUGGACAACAAUACGUGGGAUCGGACCUGAAGAGUUCCCACUUGUAUGACUACCUACCUUUGGUUGGAUUACUAACUACCACAAUAGUAGUCCUCCGUCACCUGAUCGCCACCGCACUAAGUUUUGAUAACGACUAAGACGUAAACUCCUAAAGUACUUCGGUUCGCUAGGAGAACACGAGACUCCUCGAGACUACAUAUGUCCGUAGACCAUACUAGCGUACGGAAUUAAGUAUGUAUCCUCAAUCAUAACAUUGAUAAUUCAUCGAGUUAUUAGACAACCGUUAUUUUAUUCAACCAUAUAUGCUACCUCUUCAUGACUUAGAGAAUUUCGUAUUUCGGUAUUUUUAGUCGUACGUGACGGGUUCGUGUUUCAUUUUUACAAGAUUAAAGUUUUCUAAUUAAAUCAAAACUAUCCCCACGCAUCCAUAUUUGUUACUUGGUAGAAGAGGUUUUUUUUUUUGGACCUAGUAAGACGUAGGUCAUAUAACUGUAUAAUCAACGAGAGAACAAAGACUUGUAAAAACUUGGUCGACUCUUCAUGAGUUUUAGAAUUUCGUAUUUCAGUACUUGUAGGAUCCGUGUCUUAUUAGUGCGUCACUUCCAUGAAAUAAUGUUUGGUACAUACUAUACUGUGGUUGUGGUUUAGGAACUUCGUCGGCAGGGUACAUCUCUUCACUACUCAGUACACCUAAUUUGUAGCUAAUCGUUCGUACUUCGAGCAUAGCAGCGCUCUUCUCUUUACCGUCUUUUAUUCGAACCCUUUGUACACCCACGUAGUACGGUACGUAAGCACUUCCUCUACCGCUCGGUUGGCUACUACAAGACUUAGCGGUGGUAGCAAUUGCUGACUUUUAAGUCAUCCGUACAGGUAUCAUAUUUUCUAAUUUUGAAAUCACAUCAGUUCUUAAUUAAACAACGUUGAACGUUCGUAUACUGUACUUGUUUUAUUACUUGGAAAAGUCUUUUUCAGAAGUGGAUGUGUAACAGACGUUGUGGUUAAAGAGAAGAGACUAAUAGCAUAGUUUACGGUGUGCGUUGAUUAAUUUAUUGAGUACUCUAAACUCUGAUUAUGUUCGAGUUGAGAAUUAAAAGUAAGCCUCCCUCCCUCCCCAGUUCUAAAAGAGUGGGGAAAGACCGGUUACACGAGCCGGUAGACCGGCGACCGCUACCGGGGUUGGUACCGCGACUGAACCUGUCGCUCGGCUUGCGGUUCUUGACUGCACGUCCGUGCUUCAAUGAGUUGUAGAAAUUAGGUUCUUCUUCAGCUUUGUCUCGUUCGUAUAUCCGAGGUCCGUGAUGGAAGAGUAUCAAAAGUUAAAAAAAUAUUUAAUGAAAGUCAAGUUAGACGAAGAGUACUAAAGGCGUUAGAAGUUUAAGUUGAACACAAUCUCCGAAGUCAAGAAUGUCGUAUACUAUGAACGAACUAGUAGUACAUGUAACAUAUUUGUAUUUCACUACGUGACUUACGUGAUACGAGAACAGGUAACAAUAACACAAAUAAAGGAUAGUCAAUUCUAUUUAUAUAUUGAGAGUUUCAAAAUUGAUACCCACAAUCUCCUCUAUCUAGCCCGUCUUGAUGUUGGACUCCAACACGUCCAAAUGCCUAUGCAGAACGGUUCCAAUAUAAUAAAAUCCAAAACCGCUUAUUUUUUUUAUAUAUCAUCCAUUUAUUUCGAGUCAAGCGGUGAGUUUAUUAAUACUUAUGGUUACGUCAUUUCCAUACUACAUGCGAAAGUUUAUUGUAAAAUAUCAAGAAACCAUUGUAGUGACUUUUGAUAACUUAACACAAGAGAUUAAAUAAUAUCAAUCGAAAGAAAGUAUAAUCCACAAUUAUCUUUUGUAUGGGUACGUAAUUACCUAAGUGUAAACUUCCCUUUGACGACUUUUACUUUCCGCUGUAUAAACUAUCAAAAAAGAGAGUAAUAAGUGUUAGGGUUGAUCCAAACCUUCUGUUUUAGACCUCGGAAUGAAACUUACAGGUUCCUCCACCUUCGUGGUUGUUACGGGAGUUGUCUCGACGAGCUAGUUAACCUAGACUUAGGUUCCUACUGUAGGUUGUUUUCCAUGGGUUAAAGGAAAAUAACGAAAUUGGUAUGAUCUCAUCGACAUAUACCACGUGAACCGUCCCUAUAAUAGUUCCUUAAGGUUCUACUACCGACGUAAAACGUGACUUUAACCCUCCACUCCGAGUUUUUCUAUGUCGCCAAUGGCCGCCGCCGCUGUCGCUUCUGAUCGGGCCCUAGACCCUGUCACCUACGUAACUCGUGCUCCACUUCUAUUCGGUGAGGUAGGUACCAAUGAUAAAACAAGUAAGAAAAAAACCUCUACUAAAGUCAUGAGAUAGUUACACUACAAUCUCGGUUCUACGUACACAGUGAACAAAGUAGUUCACACAUUACUUGAAAUUUAAAACAAAGUAGUUCACCAAAGAGC
rnacentral:rRNA from 1 species